rnacentral:misc_RNA from 1 species
GCCUCUUGUUGAUUGUGAAGCCCCUAUGACAGUUGUUGAAGAGUUGUAUGGACUUGUCCUUCGUUAGAUAAGCCGUCCUGAGUUUCAUAAACCCUAUCCAAACUAGGUGGAUAGAAAUAAUCCCUUCCUUAGGGGUUAUAAAUACUUAAGUUCAAUUUGUUCUCAAGAGAUGGGUCACAGUCUACUUUAGAACAUAUUUGUAGGUU